CGAUAAUGGGUGUGAAAAACACCCACGCCGAAAGACCAAGGUUUCCUGCGCAACGUUAAUCGACGCAGGGUUAGUCGGUCCCUAAGGCGAGGCUGAAAAGCGUAGUCGAUGGAAAACAGGUUAAUAUUCCUGUACUUCUGGUUAUUGCGAUGGAGGGACGGAGAAGGCUAGGCCAGCUUGGCGUUGGUUGUCCAAGUUUAAGGU
rnacentral:rRNA from 11 species